GGGGUUAUAGUUCAGUUGGUUUAGAGCAUCCCGACCAAACAGUCGGGAGGGUCGUAGGUUCAAACCUACUAAUCA
rnacentral:tRNA from 1 species